GUCGAUGCUCAAGACCGACCUUGAACCAACUUUGUGUUUUAUAAACCGAUCUCGAGACACGACGUUGUCUUGGGAAGUGUAAAAUGACAGGCGAAUCUCAAGUCAUCGAUCGACCUUCCUCAAGACCGCGAUUCUAACCUAACUUUGUUUGUUAUUGUUUGAAUUUUGAAUAUUUUAAAUUCAGUUCCAACAUAUAUUUUUUGUUUUUCUAAUUACAACAAAAAUGUAUGAAGAAGUAAAAGCAUUUUUAGAGUUUAUUGAUAAUAUUGGAGAAAAAAUCGCCCGGGAAGUAUACAAAAGCGAUAUAUUCAAGAUAAAAAUAUAAUCUAAAAUACAAUGGAGUAUUACAAUAUUGAAGUUCAUCAGCGAAUCAGCGCAUUAACUUAAACAAUAAAGGUUUUAUGCUACUUAUAGGAAUAUAACCAGUUUUUAUGAGGACCCCGCUUUCCAAAAAUGUACAGGUACUAGAAGAGAAAUUAUGUGUAUUAUUGUUCAACAACAAGGUUAUCAAGUCAUUCAAUAUUUGAUCUAAGAGCAUUAAGAGUGAAAUUGUGAAAUGGAAAGAAGUGAAAUUCCAGGAUUAUUAAUAGGAAUAGAUGACAGUAGUGGGUAUGCAUGCAGACACUAUCUACUUACCCCAGUAUUACACCCAGGUAAUGAUCAAGAAAAUAAGAUUUUUACCAUAGUACUCAUGUGAGAACAAGAAAUGUAGAAAAGCUAUUUGGAACCUGGAAAAGAGUUUCCUUGUCUUCAACAAGGUCUACAAACCAAAUUAUAUACAUGUCUUGCAAUAAUAUGUGCUACAGCAGUACCUUACAAUCUAGGUAAAUAAUGAUCUGGUGGUAAAUAGACAUGUUAAUGAUGUGGAACAAUUUCUAAAUUUUUGGUGACAUUUUUUUCAACAAUAUUUUGCAUGAGAAUACAUUAUUGAAUACCUACUCUUAUUGUGUUUGAUUUUUUUGUCUAUUAUUUCUCAAAAUAUCAUGAUCAUUGCUCGACAGCCCUUUUUGUUUGAGUUUUGGUCUCUUGAGGAAUACAGCUCCAUUCCAAUCUAUUUCAGGAUUUGUUCUUGCAAUUUUUUAUUUUUAAAAUAUCAAUGUCUUAUUCUGUUUGUUCCUUAUAUCUAAUCUAUAGUCUUUCUCUCGUUAUAUGUCCAGCUGACAUUUGUGUGUUUAUUUUGGAAAGUAUUUCAUAUGCUUCCAUCCUUCCUCUUAGAACGUGGUCCUAUUUUGAUGAAUGCAUAUGGAUCGUGGUAUGCCCUGUAUAGUUCAAAAUUAUAUUUCAUAUGCUUCCAUCUUUCCUCUUAGAACGUGGUCCUAUUUUGAUGAAUGUAUAUGAAUCGUGGUAUGCCCUGUAUAGUUCAAAAUUAUAUCUUCUCUGGUCUUCAUAUUUUAGAUGCUAUUUAGCCUGAUUCUAGUGCUUUAUCGUUGUUUCCAGUGCUUUAUCAAUUUAUCAUCAUUUAUUUUACCUACCUGUCUACUGCUACUCUACUAUUGUACUUUCACCAUAUAUUUUUGGAAUAUAAAUAUACCUUCUGUCUUUCUCUUGUUCAACUGGAAUUUGUUUAUUUAUUCUGAGAAUACAUUAUUGAAUCUGUAUUAUGUUAGAUAUAUUAUUUUUUAUUUUAUUUCUUAAUAUGUAUUUUUUAUAUUUUAUUUUAAAAUAAAUGAGUAUGAGUUUCCCUCUUCUUAAAUAA